UGUGCCCAGCAGCCGCGGUAAUACAGAAGGGUGCAAGCGUUAAUCGAAAUUACUGGGCGUAAAGCGAGCGUAGGUGGCUUGAUAAGUCAGAUGUGAAAUCCCCCGGGCUUAACCUGGGAACUGCAUCUGAAACUGUUAGGCUAGAGUAGGUGAGAGGGAAGUAGAAUUUCAGGUGUAGCGGUGAAAUGCGUAGAGAUCUGAAGGAAUACCGAUGGCGAAGGCAGCUUCCUGGCAUCAUACUGACACUGAGGCUCGAAAGCGUGGGUAGCAAACAGGAUUAGAUACCCUGGUAGUCCACGCCGUAAACGAUGUCUACUAGUCGUUGGGUCCCUUGAGGACUUAGUGACGCAGCUAACGCAAUAAGUAGACCGCCUGGGGAGUACGGCCGCAAGGUUAAAACUCAAAUGAAUUGACGGGGGCCCGCACAAGCGGUGGAGCAUGUGGUUUAAUUCGAUGCAACGCGAAGAACCUUACCUGGUCUUGACAUACACAGAAUCUUGUAGAGAUACGAGAGUGCCUUCGGGAAUUGUGAUACAGGUGCUGCAUGGCUGUCGUCAGCUCGUGUCGUGAGAUGUUGGGUUAAGUCCCGCAACGAGCGCAACCCUUGUCCUUAGUUACCAGCGGGUUAAGCCGGGAACUCUAAGGAUACUGCCAGUGACAAACUGGAGGAAGGCGGGGACGACGUCAAGUCAUCAUGGCCCUUACGACCAGGGCUACACACGUGCUACAAUGGUAGGUACAGAGGGCAGCUACACAGCGAUGUGAUGCGAAUCUCAAAAAGCCUAUCGUAGUCCAGAUUGGAGUCUGCAACUCGACUCCAUGAAGUAGGAAUCGCUAGUAAUCGCGGAUCAGAAUGCCGCGGUGAAUACGUUCCCGGGCCUUGUACACUCCGCCC
rnacentral:rRNA from 1 species